rnacentral:rRNA from 1 species
AGGACGACGCUGGCGGCGUGCUUAAUACACGCAAGUCAACUUGACUUUAGAUAGCAAUAUCGAAAAGUAGGGUGGCGCACGGGUGCGUAACGCGUAGGUAAUCUGCCCUGAGGUCUGACAUAACCCGUCGAAAGGCGGGCUAACAUCAGAUGAUAUAUAAUCACGACAUCGUGGAAAUAUCAAAUCUUCGGAGCCUUGGGAUGAGCCUGCGUCUGAUUAGGUAGUUGGCGGAGUAAUAGCCCACCAAGCCUACGAUCAGUAGCUGGUCUGAGAGGAUGAUCAGCCACACUGGAACUGAGACACGGUCCAGACUCCUACGGGAGGCAGCAGUAAGGAAUAUUGCUCAAUGGGGGGAAACCCUGAAGCAGCAACGCCGCGUGAAGGAUGAAAUACUUUUGUAUGUAAACUUCUGUAAGAUGGGAAAAAUAUUCUCCUCGGGAGAAUUGAUUGUACCAUCAGAGUAAGCCCCGGCUAACUACGUG